GAUGAACGCUGGCGGCGUGCCUAAUACAUGCAAGUCGAGCGAACGGACGAGGAGCUUGCUUCUCUGAUGUUAGCGGCGGACGGGUGAGUAACACGUGGAUAACCUACCUAUAAGACUGGGAUAACUUCGGGAAACCGGAGCUAAUACCGGAUAAUAUUUUGAACCGCAUGGUUCAAUAGUGAAAGACGGUCUUGCUGUCACUUAUAGAUGGAUCCGCGCUGCAUUAGCUAGUUGGUAAGGUAACGGCUUACCAAGGCAACGAUGCGUAGCCGACCUGAGAGGGUGAUCGGCCACACUGGAACUGAGACACGGUCCAGACUCCUACGGGAGGCAGCAGUAGGGAAUCUUCCGCAAUGGGCGAAAGCCUGACGGAGCAACGCCGCGUGAGUGAUGAAGGUCUUCGGAUCGUAAAACUCUGUUAUUAGGGAAGAACAAAUGUGUAAGUAACUGUGCACAUCUUGACGGUACCUAAUCAGAAAGCCACGGCUAACUACGUG
rnacentral:rRNA from 1 species